rnacentral:rRNA from 1 species
UGCCAGCCGCCGCGGUAAUACGGAGGGUGCGAGCGUUAAUCGGAAUUACUGGGCGUAAAGGGCGCGUAGGCGGUCUGAUAAGUCGGGUGUGAAAUCCCUGGGCUCAACCCGGGAACUGCAUUCGAUACUGUCAGGCUUGAGUGUAGUAGAGGGAAGCGGAAUUCCGGGUGUAGCGGUGAAAUGCGUAGAUAUCCGGAGGAACACCAGUGGCGAAGGCGGCUUCCUGGACUAACACUGACGCCGAGGCGCGAAAGCGUGGGGAGCAAACAGGAUUAGAUA